AGCAGCCGCGGUAAAUUCCAGCUCCAAUAGCGUAUAUUAAAGUUGUUGCAGUUAAAAAGCUCGUAGUUGAAUUUCGGGAUUGACGUGAUGGUAUGCCUUAAGGGGUAUGAACUGUUACUGUUGAUUUCUCACCUUCUGGAGAAACUUGAUGUCCUUUAUUGGGUGUCUUGCGGAUCCAGGACCUUUACCUUGAAAAAAUUGAGUGUUCAAAGCAGGCAUUAUUGCUCGAAUACAUUAGCAUGGAAUAAUAGAAUAGGACUUUUGGCCCUAUUUUGUUGGUUUUUAGGACCAGAGUAAUGAUUAAUAGGAACAGUUGGGGGCAUUCAUACUCAAUCGUUAGAGGUAAAAUUCUUAGAUCGACUGAUGAUGAACUACUGCGAAAGCAUUUGCCGAGGAUGUU
rnacentral:rRNA from 1 species